rnacentral:rRNA from 1 species
AUACGGAGGAUCCGAGCGUUAUCCGGAUUUAUUGGGUUUAAAGGGAGCGUAGGCGGACGCUUAAGUCAGUUGUGAAAGUUUGCGGCUCAACCGUAAAAUUGCAGUUGAUACUGGGUGUCUUGAGUACAGUAGAGGCAGGCGGAAUUCGUGGUGUAGCGGGGAAAUGCUUAGAUAUCACGAAGAACUCCGAUUGCGAAGGCAGCCUGCUGGACUGUAACUGACGCUGAUGCUCGAAAGUGUGGGUAUCAAACAGGAGUAGAUACCCUGGUAGUCCACACAGUAAACGAUGAAUACUCGCUGUUUGCGAUAUACAGUAAGCGGCCAAACGAAAGCGUUAAGUAUUCCACCUGGGGAGUAAGCCGGCAACGGUGCAACUCAAAUGAAUUGGCGGGG